UGAGAAUCUUAUUUUCACAUCAACCAAAAUAACAAACAUCAUAUAAUAUAACUCACUAUUCCUCUCUCAGUGGUAUUGAAAGUUGUUGUAAUGUUGUUCCUUGCAACGCUUGUGUUCACAGAGCACAAUGCUAUGGCCGAAGAACGUGAUGCACUAUGCGUAGCAUUAUGUACACUAAGGUGCCAAAAAAGGCCUGUGUUCCUAACUAGGUGCCUUGCCUGUUGCGCUGUAAUUGGAAAUACAUGUGAAUUAGUUGAUACUGAAGCUACAAGACUAAACCAUGUUUGUAAUGUUGGAUGUUCUCUUGGCCAUGGCUCCAAAUUUCUCAUCCAGUAUGAGAAUGCAUUGGAUUGUUGUGAUUGAAGUUUCAAUUUGAGAAUUUAACUCCGGACGUCGAAGGAUAAAUAAAAACCAUCAACAGAAAAUGGAGAUCGGCACCAAUAAAUGCAUUUGUAUGGGAUGAUCCUGCAUCUAUUGUUGAAAUAGAAUCGAAGGAUCCACUUAUUCUUACAUAUGAUCUUUUUCAUGAAUUCGACAUCAACGAUCAAGGAUCAUCCUUUAACCAACGGCCAUUAAGUGUGAACUUUGAAGAGUUAACUAACUUAAUUUGUUAUGUUCAAAGUGUAAAUCUUGUAAAAGAGAGCAAUGCAAGGCAACAUUUUGAUGAUAAUGUUGAGAGACAAGUAAGAAAUAAUUUGGUUACAAUACAA